rnacentral:lncRNA from 1 species
GGAUAAUGCUGAGGUCCAGAGGCCUCAAGGGCAGGAAUGCAGGAUUUUCUACCAGCUUGGGUCACCUGUGGGCCAUCCGUCUGAUUCUGCCAGACUCAAUCAGUUCCUCCUCCUGAGCAAUCAGCCACGAACCCCGAUGCGUGCAGGCCGGUAGGGAACUUAUGAUUUUCCUAUGACUCAUUAAGACAAACACACUGCUAUUUUAAGAACAUUCGACCUUGUUCUACCUAAAAUUUUUGCAUCACUUGCUGGUGGCCAGAUAUCACGUGGCAAAGGCUGAGCUGGCUGUAAGUAUACAGCAGGCACUCGGCAAGUCUUAGUUUUGGUGAAUGGUGUUUCCACAUUGGGUCAGCACAUAUGGACCCAAAGUGUGGGUCAGAAGCUUCUUGAGAAUCAGAACACCACCUUCACUGCCAGCAAAGCAUCCUGGAUGAGGUUCCGCCCCAGCAACUUUGUAAUCUAGCGUGUUUGAAGUGUCUAAAGACUCCCAGCAUAAUGAAUGGAGCCCUCGGUAGCAGAGCCGGGGUUUUCAGCUCUGUCUCCUGGCAAGUCCCCUCCCACCAAUAGCCUCAAUCUCCAACCAAGGCUCUCCUCGAAGAAUGGGAUACAUUUAUCUUUCAUAGCUGACUCCUGGGAGCAAAUGAAAAAGUUAAU